UACGAAGGGGGCUAGCGUUGCUCGGAAUUACUGGGCGUAAAGGGCGCGUAGGCGGCGCAUUUAGUCAGGCGUGAAAGCCCUGGGCUCAACCUGGGGACUGCGCUUGAUACUGUUGCGCUGUGAGUCCGGGAGAGGAUGGCGGAAUUCCCAGUGUAGAGGUGAAAUUCGUAGAUAUUGGGAAGAACACCGGUGGCGAAGGCGGCCAUCUGGACCGGCACUGACGCUGAGGCGCGAAAGCGUGGGGAGCAAACAGG
rnacentral:rRNA from 1 species